GGAUGUGAGGGUGAUCUGGCUUUGACAUCUGUCACCCUAUUGAUCUCCAGGGUUGUCAGCUCAUCUGGCUGGCGGGGAGGGUGUCUCUUUCCUCCCUCAUUGCUCCAUGUGCCUCUCUUGGGAAGGUGCACGCUUGGUCGAAGAGAACAACCUUCCUGAAUAGAGCAGGACAGGUCUUUGGUCAAGGGUAUAUGAGUAGCUGUGAUCCCCUGAUAGAACCUCCAAACAAACUCUCAAGAAAAUACUUUGAAUUUACUGAAUGUACAAUUAUACGGAGCACUGUUUGAGUAUAAUUAAUAUAACGUUAGAAUAGAAUGCUUCACUCAGGAUGAAGGGAGGCUUUUC
rnacentral:snRNA from 1 species